GUGAAGAAUAUAACCCCUUAUGAAUAUAAAAAGGCAAAAUAACAGAAGAUAAGAUAUCAAAUUUCCUGAAUUCUCUUUCAUUUUUAACAUUGUCACCGCAACUGAAAAGUGGUUCAGUGUUUUGAAACAUGAUAUUCCACUAUUAUACAAAACUAAACGUGGCUAUAUUGGCCACAGCAAAUAAUGAAACGAUGAAUUGAAUAACAGCGAGCUAAAAUUAA
rnacentral:misc_RNA from 1 species